AGCAAUUGCUUCUUAUCUCCCAGCUAAUCAUUUCUCACUACUUCUAGUGCAUCAAUCCAUAUCUCUCUGUGUAACUCCUCCAAAUCUCCCCUCCAUGUGCAUUUCUCCCACUUCACACUUGUGCACUUGCCCCACCUACCCCUCCCUAACAUCUACCCAUGCAUUGUCACCACAUCCCAUGCAUCUCCCUGGGUUAAGAUGUUCAUGCCCCA